CUACAACUUGACUUGUUCUAGAUAAACACUACUUCACCUAAGAGACUUGAGUAUCCAGUUCUUCGUUGACCUUCAGCAUUCAGUUGUUUGUCUUCACCUUUUCAGGUUUCCUGUGUCAAGGAUCUUCAAGACAGACUAAGCUAACUUUUCAUAUUUUUUGCACAUUUAUAUUUAGGUUAGGAGUAGGUUAGGUUUAUAGUAGAGUAUUUAGUUUGUAUAGUUUAGCUUUUUAUGCUGGUCUAGGGACAGUUAAGUUAGCAAAUUAAUUUAGUUCAGAUCACUUACAGUUGCAUAUUAUUGUUACAAUUGUGUUACUUUGUGAGUUAUUGUUGUACAGGCUAUUGUAUAUUGCAGGACCAAGUGAGACGAGGAAGACCACUGCUUCCAAGAUGCAGCACUCAGAAAGUGCGUUGGACAAGUCUCGACCUUGCAGAUCCUGCCCCACUUAGCCCAACCACUUCCGACCAUGGGGUACCUCAAAGACCUCCGUCAACCAGCCGGCUGUGGAUGAUGGAUAACGCACCCACAACUCCUUCUCCAGUCUACAAGGUUCUGAAAAUACAGACACCCCCACAGUCCAAGAACAGCUGGAUGACCUCUGGACCCUCUUGCCCCUGUUCACCAGUUGAAAAGAUAGGCUUUUUAAAAAAAUCUUCAAUUGUUAAUUCUGCACAAAGUGAUACACAAAACAUUGUCUGUAUUCCAUUUCAACAAACACAAACAUGAAAUGUAUAUUUAAAUACAUGACUUAAUGCAAGUCAAUCAUACUAAACAAUUUUUUUAAACCAACCAUUGCACACACUUCCAUCCAAG